CCUACGGGUGGCAGCAGUAGGGAAUUUUCGGCAAUGGGGGGAACCCUGACCGAGCAACGCCGCGUGAACGAAGAAGUUAUUCGUAAUGUACAUUUCUUUUAACAGGGAAGAAAGAGAAAUUUAACGAUACCUGAAGAAUACGCUCCGGCUAACUACGGGCCCGCAGCCGCGGUAAUACGUAGGGAGCGAGCAUUAUCCGGAAUUAUUGGGCGAAACGGGUGCGUAGAUGGUAUAGUAAGUAUUUUGUAAAAAUGCGGGGCUCAACCCAGUAGGGCAAAAGAUACUGCAAAGCUAGAGUAUGAAAGAGGCAAGUGGAACUAAAUGGGGAGCGGUAAAAUGCGUAAAUAUAUGUAAGAACACCAGUGGCGAAGGCGGCUUGCUGGGUCGAUACUGACAUUGAGGCACGAAAGCGUGGGGAGCAAACAGGAUUAGAUACCCCUGUAGUC
rnacentral:rRNA from 1 species